rnacentral:lncRNA from 1 species
UCCACCAUUGCCUCUCCAACCUCCACUUGUAUGUGCAGUUCCAUCUCCUCCCCGACCACCUCCAUCUCCACCUCCACCUCCACCUCCACCACCCUUGCAUCCAAGAGCAUCCUCCAAAAGCCUACCUCCUUCCCCUUUGCCUUUAGGCCCAAUAACAUCUCCAAAGGAUGGUUCCCUCCCUUUUCCUCAGCCUAUGACCAAAAAAGCAGCCACUAGCUACUCCCCUCCUCCCCCUCCAUCAUUUGUCCACUCAAGAUCAUCCACCAAAGUUCCCCCACCCCCACCCCCUCCCAUUUGGAAUAAAUCAGGCAUGGCAUCGUCUCCAUCAAUAACAUACCAAGGAGUAAUAUCUCAAAACUCCCCUCUUUCCCUUAGGUCUCCUCUUUUUCAGCAUGGUGUUGGUGGAUCAAUUACUUCCUCACCACCUCUUUCACCAUCUAAAAGGGAUGUAGUUGUCACAAAAGACCCUCCAACAUCUCCACCCUCGCCACUUUUAGUGACUUCAUCUAAUCUUUCAGAAAAUAUGAUCACCACAUCCCCUAUUCCAACUUCUCCCCCUUCCAUGCAUACAGAAGCUUUGUUUCCACCUUCAUCCUUAAGAGCUUGUGUAGAAACUCCACCUCAACUGCCACCUCAUAAACUACAUUUAGGGCCUCCACCACCACCACCACCCCCUCCCUCUCCCCCUCCCUUUACGAGCGUGUAAAGGAACUCAACCUCCUUCCUCACCUACGUCGCUUGAGGCUCAUAUUAGAGUUCCAUCAUUGCCCCAUCCCUCUCCCCCUAUUUCCAAAGGUCUUGAAGGAGCUCCACCUUCAUCCCGACCCUCACACCUUGGAGCUCAUGGAGGAGCUCUUCCUCCACCACCGCCACCGCCACUGCCUCCAUUGCCACCACCAUCACCACCACUUAUGGCUCAUGGAGGAGAUACAUUGCCAAAGCUAGAUCUUUCUAAAGGGCUUGGAGGAGCUCCAACUCCACCCCCACCCCCACCUCCACCUUCCAAAGCUUAUGGAGUUCCACCACCACCACCUUGCCCACCCUUGAGAGGGCAGGUAGGAGCUCCACCUCCACCUCCACCUCCACUCCACCUCCACUCCCUAGAGCUCAUGGAGGAGUUCCACUGCCACCUCCUCCCCCUUCCUCUAAAGAGCAUACAGGAGCUCCACCAUUGCCCCAUCCUUCUUUCUUUGGAGAGCAUAUAGGAGCUCCACCACUGAUCCCGCCCCCAGCCUCUAGGGCUCAUGGAGGAGUUCCUCCACCACCCCCUCCCCCUUUUCAUAGAGGACAUGUGGGAGCUCCACCACCAGUCCUGGCCCCAGCCCCUAGGGCUCAUGGAAGAGUUCCAUUAUCAUUAUCUUCUGCUAUACCUGAAGAACAUGCAGGAGCUCCACGGCCACCACCACCCCCACCCCCCAGGGCUGAUGGAGGGGUUUUGCUACCACCUCCACCCUUUGGAAGAGUUUCAUUAUCAUUACCUUCCGCUGUACCUAGAGGAUAUGUGGGAGCUCCACCGCCACCACCACCGCCACCCCCUAAGGCUAAUGAAGGAGUUUUGCUACCACCUGCACCCUCUAGAGUAUGUGGAGGACCUCCACCUCCGCCUCCACCUCCACCGGCACCGGCACCACCUAGAGGGCGUGGAGGUGCUCCACCUCCACCACCACCUCCUGGAGCAUAUGGAGGAGCUCCACCACCACCACCUCCUCCUGGAGGACAUGGAGGAGCUCCACCUCCACCACCUCCCCCU